GACGAACGCUGGCGGCGUGCUUAACACAUGCAAGUCGAACGGAAAGGCCCUGCUUUUGUGGGGUGCUCGAGUGGCGAACGGGUGAGUAACACGUGAGUAACCUGCCCUUGACUUUGGGAUAACUUCAGGAAACUGGGGCUAAUACCGGAUAGGAGCUCCUGCUGCAUGGUGGGGGUUGGAAAGUUUCGGCGGUUGGGGAUGGACUCGCGGCUUAUCAGCUUGUUGGUGGGGUAGUGGCUUACCAAGGCUUUGACGGGUAGCCGGCCUGAGAGGGUGACCGGCCACAUUGGGACUGAGAUACGGCCCAGACUCCUACGGGAGGCAGCAGUGGGGAAUAUUGCACAAUGGGCGGAAGCCUGAUGCAGCAACGCCGCGUGCGGGAUGACGGCCUUCGGGUUGUAAACCGCUUUCGCCUGUGACGAAGCGUGAGUGACGGUAAUGGGUAAAGAAGCACCGGCUAACUACGUGCCAGCAGCCGCGGUGAUACGUAGGGUGCGAGCGUUGUCCGGAUUUAUUGGGCGUAAAGGGCUCGUAGGUGGUUGAUCGCGUCGGAAGUGUAAUCUUGGGGCUUAACCCUGAGCGUGCUUUCGAUACGGGUUGACUUGAGGAAGAUAGGGGAGAAUGGAAUUCCUGGUGGAGCGGUGGAAUGCGCAGAUAUCCGGAGGAACACCAGUGGCGAAGGCGGUUCUCUGGGCCUUUCCUGACGUUGAGGAGCGAAAGCGUGGGGAGCGAACAGGCUUAGAUACCCUGGUAGUCCACGCUGUAAACGGUGGGUACUAGGUGUGGGGUCCAUUCCACGGGUUCCGUGCCGUAGCUAACGCUUUAAGUACCCCGCCUGGGGAGUACGGCCGCAAGGCUAAAACUCAAAGGAAUUGACGGGGCCCCGCACAAGCGGCGGAGCAUGCGGAUUAAUUCGAUGCAACGCGUAGAACCUUACCUGGGUUUGACAUGGAUCGGGAGUGCUCAGAGAUGGGUGUGCCUCUUUUGGGGUCGGUUCACAGGUGGUGCAUGCCUGUCGUCAGCUCGUGUCGUGAGAUGUUGGGUUAAGUCCCGCAACGAGCGCAACCCUUGUUCACUGUUGCCAGCACGUUAUGGUGGGGACUCAGUGGAGACCGCCGGGGUCAACUCGGAGGAAGGUGGGGAUGACGUCAAGUCAUCAUGCCCCUUAUGUCCAGGGCUUCACGCAUGCUACAAUGGCUGGUACAGAGAGUGGCGAGCCUGUGAGGGUGAGCGAAUCUCGGAAAGCCGGUCUCAGUUCGGAUUGGGGUCUGCAACUCGACCUCAUGAAGUCGGAGUCGCUAGUAAUCGCAGAUCAGCAACGCUGCGGUGAAUACGUUCCCGGGGCU
rnacentral:rRNA from 1 species